CCUCCCCCACCCCGACCUCCUCCGAUGACUCAGCCUAACACACCACCACCACCACCACCUCAGCCUUCCCACGUUCUGGCAGUCUUCCCAAUUCUGAGUAUCUUGAACCAUCCAAACCACAAACAUCUCCAGCACAUGGUUUCCAUUAUAACAAUCCUGGGUAUCUGUCAAAAGUGAAGAGCAGGAGGUUGUAACUCUGAGGAGAGAAGACAGACUGGAGAGCCAAUCAAAUUUCAAACUAUACUUUGCUGUGGGCAUGGAUGGAGAAGCAGGUCACAUCUGAUGAAUGAAGAGGAGCUUCCAAGCAGCCAAAGUAAAGUAUUUUGCUACACAAACUGCAGGAUCAAUGUUCGUGUUUUGAAGCUCAAGAGAUUGACAGCUGUAGAAAUUAAGUUCCAGAAUAUAUCCACCAGCCAGGUAUACUGGAAGCAAAUGUUCUUUUUCUGAGAUUCGCCAUGCCAGUGGCCUUAACCCUGACUUGGAAGGACAAUGCAAUCAACUACAGAAAGAAAAGCCUGCAGUGGUUCUGGAGCAGUCUUAGGCUUUUUUGAAUAUCACUAUCAUUAAACAAAUUGUUGUUUAUCAGGAGCUGUUUCUCCAGCAAAUCUCUAUCACAGGCUCAUAAUACAUUGGAGCUAGAAAUCUGAAAGUGCUCAAUCUUUAAUUAUUAAAAUAAAAGCCAGGAUCCUAACUUACCCAUCCACUUUUUUUUUAGACAGGAUGAAGAAAUGAAUAUAACUAAAAGAAGAGGGAAACCUCAGAGCUAAAUUUCAGCAAAGUUGACAUGAGAUACAGAUUGGCAACCUGCAU
rnacentral:lncRNA from 1 species